CCAGACUCCUACGGGAGGCAGCAGUGGGGAAUAUUGCACAAUGGGGGGAACCCUGAUGCAGCGACGCCGCGUGGGCGAGGAAGUAUUUCGGUAUGUAAAGCCCUAUCGGCAGGGAAGAAGAAAUGACGGUACCUGAAUAAGAAGCACCGGCUAAAUACGUGCCAGCAGCCGCGGUAAUACGUAUGGUGCAAGCGUUAUCCGGAUUUACUGGGUGUAAAGGGGGCGCAGACGGCGAUGCAAGCCAGGAGUGAAAGCCCGGGGCCCAACCCCGGGACUGCUCUUGGAACUGCGUGGCUAGAGUGCAGGAGGGGCAGGCGGAAUUCCUGGUGUAGCGGUGAAAUGCGUAGAUAUCAGGAGGAACACCGGUGGCGAAGGCGGCCUGCUGGACUGCGACUGACGUUGAGGCCCGAAAGCGUGGGGAGCAAACAGGAUUAGAUACCCGUGUA
rnacentral:rRNA from 1 species